GCGUUGGUGGUUUAGUGGUUAGCAUAGCUGCCUUACAAGCAGUUGACCCGGGUUCGAUUUCCCGGCCAACGCA